UACGGAGGGGGCUAGCGUUGUUCGGAAUUACUGGGCGUAAAGCGUACGUAGGCGGCUUUGUAAGUUAGAGGUGAAAGCCCAGAGCUCAACUCUGGAAUUGCCUUUAAGACUGCAUCGCUUGAAUCGUGGAGAGGUUAGUGGAAUUCCGAGUGUAGAGGUGAAAUUCGUAGAUAUUCGGAAGAACACCAGUGGCGAAGGCGGCUCACUGGUCCAUUACUGACGCUGAGGUGCGAAAGCGUGGGGAGCAAACAGG
rnacentral:rRNA from 1 species